CGAGUAACCCCAGAGUGCAGUCUGGACGAUGGGGCGGGGCGACACUUCGAGGCGGAGCGACACGUGUCGCCCCGCCCAUAUUUGUUUUCCCCGCCUUUGACACUUUGCUCCGAGCCAGCAGGGGGCAGUUUGCGUUGAAAUAAACAGACGGGUGGCAACUGCAGCAGCAGAGUAAUAACGCUAUUCCACGUUGAUUGCAUGAGGUGAGUAAAAGUGGUUGUGUAAAUAUCUUAUAAUAUUAAAUGCGAUGUUCGAUAAUUUAUUUAUCCAUGGUACGUUCAAUUUGAAUAAUUAUUGUUAAUAAUUGUUAUAAAUUGCUCAUUUUAUUGUUCGUUGUGGAUUGUAACAGUACACUCUGUACAUGGCUUUAGUUCUUAGGUUUGAUUUUACAGAGUUAUGCCAUAACAUUUGUCAAGUUAUUUGAACAGACAUGCAUUAUUAUUGUGUGUAUAUUAUUAUUAUUAUUAUUAUUAUUAUUAUUAUUUUUCAGGAUGACAUGAUCAGGAGGUGGUGGUGUUCUGUUCUCCUGGACAGAUUCACUCCGCAAAUAGCUCAACCACUGAGGGGAGGAACUUCACCAUUCAAAAGACAGUGUCUCCAGGCAGAGUCCAGCAAAGCAGCUUCCCCUGGAAAUCCUCAGUGAAGUUAUUUUGUCAGCGGGGGACUCUGCAUAUUUGACACUUUCUCUGGUUUGCAGAUGGUUUAGGGAUAUGGUCACUCAAGAAGUUUUCCGGAAAGCGGCACACUUUGCCUGGCUAGACAUUGUGGCCAACUGGAAGAAUUGUCCUCCUGUCUACCAGAACGAGUUCAGACGGAUGUACAGCAUCA